ensembl:lncRNA
AGACUCAACUCAACUUAAGCCCGAGACACACUGCACCAUUUUCAGCUGUCCCAGAUAAAAGAUCGGCAUCAUGAAACAAUGCGAAUCAGUUGUUUCACAAUGCCAGUCUUUUGUCUGGGACAGCCAAAAAUGGUGCAGUGUGUCUCAGGCCUUAGACUUUCACAACAAUGUUUUGAAACUUGACUUGGACUUGAGCCCUGUGACUCCUUACAAAACAGAGUUCUGAUCGAUAUAGGCUGGUUACUGAAGCAUAUGGUCUCACUGGUAUGAUUAGCGCAGCUUUUGACACUGAGCCAGUGAGCUUGUCACUUGUUAGUGUUUUCAUCCACAUAAUAGUGUUUAGGAUAUUUACAGUUUUAGACAUUUAAAAUACAAAUAAUCACUAUAAACCACAAGAAGAAGAAGAUGAAAUGCAAUGUAUAUUGAAAGAGCAGGAGCUAAAUAAUAGGCUUAAACCUUUCAAACAUAAUUGAUUUUUUUUCAUGUCAAACGAUUGUAUGUAUCCUACAUAUAAAGUUCACUCUAUUCUUCCUGUUCGCCCAGCCACUCACUUUCAUGUCUUUCAGAAAAAAAUGGAGGCACUACUUGGUAACGCACAUAUAGCCCCUUAACAAAGCCAUCAUAGCUACAGUUUUACUGUGAAUUACUUUCCAUGCCUCAUUUAAAUCUGCUAGUGAAUGGUGUGGUGCCAGACUUGUUUAGGACUUAAAGUUGAGGACUGCAACUCAAUUUGAAUGCAAAGACUCGAGACUUACACUAUCACUCAAAAGUGUAAGUAUCAAGUCAGCUUUAUUUCAAUAAUGCUAUUUAUAAUACAGACUGUAUCAAAGCACUUAACAGGAAUAAACAGGAAAAUUCAGAAUCUGCUGUAAAACUGGUCUAAAUGAAAAAAAAAGUGUUAUUAAACAUUAUGGAACAACUGGGAAGUUCUUCAGUUUGCAACUGAAUCUUCUAUCCAGUGUGAAUUCUUCUCAUGUGGGCGUUAAGGUAUUGUUUUUGUCUGAAACUCUUUUCACACUGAGGGCACGUGAAUGGCUUCUCUUCAGUGUGAACUUUCAUGUGAACUUUAAGGUUUUGUUCUCGCUUGAAAAAUUUUCUACACAGAGGGCAGAUGAAGGGCUUCUUUCCAGUGUGGACUUUAAUGUGGUAAUUCAGGCUUCCUUUUUGGUUAAAACCUUUUCCACAAUCUUUGCAGGUGAAAGGUUUCUCUCCAGUGUGAAUAUUCAUGUGGAGUUUAAUGUUUCCAGAUUGACUGAAAGUCUUUCCACACCGAUAGCAUGAGAAAUCCUUCUCUCCAUAGUGAGUUUUCAUGUGGACUUUAAGGUGUUCUUUUUCACUGAAACUCUGACCACACCGAUAACAUGUGUUAGGCUUCUCUCCAGUAUGAAAUCUCAUAUGCUUGUUAAGGCUUUCUUGUUGUUUAAAAGUCUUUCCACAAUGAAAGCAAGUUAAGUAACUCCUAGUUCUUUUCUUUUGAGCUCUUUUUUGUGUGGAAGUCUUUUUAGACUGUAAGGAACAAAAAGAUUUUUCUCCUGUUAUGAAAUCAUGAAGAGUCUCAUACUGACAUUUCUCUUGAGUUUCAUUCAGUACUUCCCUCUCUUCUUUCAGUGCCAUCAGAUCUAAGGUGGAAAAACAAACAUAAAGGUUAACCCCAGUUUAAUGGCUCAAAGCAAUCAGUACAGUAUGUAAUGUAGUAUAUAUUUAUUUAAUGCCAUGUUAGAAUCAAAGGCUAUUUUCAAGGCAACAACAAUUUAAAAAAUACAAGUAUAACAAAUACAAUAAAAAUAGCAAACAAACACA